AUUGAACGCUGGCGGCAUGCUUUACACAUGCAAGUCGAACGGUAACAGGCCGCAAGGUGCUGGCGAGUGGCGAACGGGUGAGUAAUGCAUCGGAACGUGCCCAGUCGUGGGGGAUAACUGCUCGAAAGAGCAGCUAAUACCGCAUACGAUCUAUGGAUGAAAGCGGGGGACCGUAAGGCCUCGCGCGAUUGGAGCGGCCGAUGUCAGAUUAGGUAGUUGGUGGGGUAAAGGCUCACCAAGCCAACGAUCUGUAGCUGGUCUGAGAGGACGACCAGCCACACUGGGACUGAGACACGGCCCAGACUCCUACGGGAGGCAGCAGUGGGGAAUUUUGGACAAUGGGGGCAACCCUGAUCCAGCAAUGCCGCGUGCAGGAAGAAGGCCUUCGGGUCGUAAACUGCUUUUGUACGGAACGAAACGGUCUGGGUUAAUACCCUGGGCUAAUGACGGUACCGUAAGAAUAAGCACCGGCUAACUACGUGCCAGCCGCCGCCGUAAGAC
rnacentral:rRNA from 1 species